rnacentral:lncRNA from 1 species
GUUGGCUUUCAAUCUUGUUUGGUAAAAGAUACCAUUUCUUUCAUGGUAAAAUAAGGGUUAAAAGUAGAGAUAUAAUGACGGGUCCAUUUGAUAAAAAAUUAAUAAAAGUUUAGUAAAUUUGGAUAAAAGUUGAUAAAAUGUAUUGUUGAAUAAUUGAUAGAAAUUGUGAAAUUUAUGAAACAUGCGGUUAAAAUUGAAGUUUGAUCAUUUUUUCAAGUGAUAAAUUUUUAAUAAUUUAAGUUUGAUUAGUUGAAAAGUGUUAACAAAGUUUUAUCAAGUAAGCACUAAAAAUCAUGGAAAGAACCCUAUAAAUUUCGAAACAUGCUAUAUAAACAGGCUUGGAGACAGAUUUAAAACCAGGUGGAGGUACGUGUCGACUCGGGAUUGGAAAGUUUGAAAAAAAUAAAAAUAAAUAACAUCCUAUCAUUAAUUCACACACCGAUUUAUUUUCUACAAUUCCGUUUUUUGAGCCUGUUCAAGAGGAAUUAUUCGUCAAUUUCGUAGACUUUUGUCUUCAUUUUUCAAUAAUUAAAUAGUAGAAACUUCCAAGAUUGAACUUCGUUUUCACACCUACCCAAUGAGGUUUAAAGGAUAUUGAUGGGACCCUUCACCGCGUGAUUAAGGAAAAAUAUUUUGGGUUAGGCCGAAUAGUUACUUUUCUUUAUUUAUGAUAUAUUUUAGAUAUUGAUUCAGACCCUUAUACGAAAUGUGUGAAAAAAAUGAUUUGACCGAAUACGAAUAAUUUAUAAACAUGGUGAAAGAUAGGGUCGACGUGCCAUAUGUUUUGGUCAAUAUUUGUUGCUGCCAAACUUGGGGUUUUCGAAUAUUUAUUCGAUUGUGGUAAUGAGAAUUGAUUUUUUAAUCGUUAAAGAAAAAAGUGAGUUUCAUCUGUGAGUAAAGAAGUAAAAAAUGACGACUGAAAAUAAAAUAAUAAUCAAAAAAUUGAUUUUUUGGACAAAAAAUUGCUAAGAAACAGGGCUAAAUUAAAUUCAUUUUUUAAGAGACAGAAACUCUUCCAAAUUGGUUUUAUUAGGUAAAAUGAGAGAGAGAGAUUAAUGGGUGGGCCAUGGGCUUGAAAAUAUGGAAUUCGGUCUGUGUUUGUCUGCAUCUGUGUUUAUGACCUAUAUAUAUUAGUGGUGAGUUGUGGCCGAAAAUAGCGUUCAAACUUCCAUUAUUUUUUGUUUGAUUCAACGGCUGGAAAGUAUAUUUGAUUAUUUUCUCAUCCAGACUUUUCUAAACUUGACGUGGCAGUUGGGAAUUUAUGGUGGAAAGGUACAAAUAUAGGUGGUAGUGGUCAAUUUCAUGUGCAUUUAGUCCUACCAUUGGUAAUUUAAAUGUUUCUUAGUGGUAGGUUUAGUCCAUUAUUUGGUCCCAUCAGCACGACUGAACUUUUUGUAUGGUCAUUUAUGCGAAUAAAGUUCAGACAAUACACUGAUAUGCUCAAACAUUGUGGCAUAUCUGAAUUAGAUCUUCUUUUCUAUAGUUAUAUGUGGUAUGUAGCUUAGUCCAAC